UACGUAGGGUGCAAGCGUUGUCCGGAAUUAUUGGGCGUAAAGAGCUCGUAGGCGGUUUGUUGCGUCGGCUGUGAAAUCCCGAGGCUCAACCUCGGGUCUGCAGUCGAUACGAGCAAACUAGAGUGUUGCAGGGGAGACUGGAAUUCCUGGUGUAGCGGUGAAAUACGUAGAUAUCGGGAAGAACACCUGAGGCGAAGGCGGCUAUCUGGCGGUGCACUGACGCUGAGGCGCGAAAGCGUGGGGAGCAAACAGG
rnacentral:rRNA from 1 species